rnacentral:rRNA from 1 species
ACGAAUCGCAGCUCUCGGAAUCAUCGAAUCUUUGAACGCACAUUGCACCAUUGGGUAUUCCCAAUGGUAUGCUUGUUUGAGCGAAUACUUCCCUAAUCCUCACGGAUUGUAUUGUGUUUGCACGAAAAUAAUGACGACAGUACUCUACAAAACGGUACCGUCAGUACACUCAUUUUUUUUCCUCAAAUCAAGUAGGACUACCCGCUGAACUUAAGCAUAUCAAUAAGCGGAGGAAAAGAAACCAACAGGGAUUGCCUCAGUAACGGCGAGUGAAGCGGCAAAAGCUCAAAUUUGAAAUCCCCCCGGGGAGUUGUAAUUUGAAGAUUGCGUCUUGGAGGCGACCGUGUCUAUGUUCCUUGGAACAGGACGUCACAGAGGGUGAGAAUCCCGUGCGGCACGGCCCCCGGCUCCUUAUAAGGCGCUCUCGACGAGUCGAGUUGUUUGGGAAUGCAGCUCAAAGUGGGUGGUAAAUUCCAUCUAAAGCUAAAUACAGGCGAGAGACCGAUAGCGAACAAGUACAGUGAUGGAAAGAUGAAAAGCACUUUGAAAAGAGAGUGAAACAGCACGUGAAAUUGUUGAAAGGGAAGGGCAUGCCGUCAGAUUGUCAGUGUGGGUAAGAAGCGGGGUACAAAGACUGUGGAACGUGGCCCUCGGGUGUUAUAGCCGCAGUUCAUGCCCCGUCUCUUUCCGAGGCCUGCUUUGAGGACACCGACGUAAUGACGGUACGCCGCCCGUCUUGAAACACGGACCAAGGAGUCUAACGUCUAUGCGAGUGUGUGGGUGUCAAACCCAAACGCGUAAUGAAAGUGAACAGAUGAGUUUCAUCAUCGACCGAUCCUGAAGUGUUCGGAUGGAUUUGAGUAAGAGCAUAGCUG